UUCCUCAUCUCUGGCAAGAGCACAGCGGGACUGCAGUUCAGCAUUCAGAUGUAAGGCAGGGACCUUCUAACCUCAGAACAUAUGAAGAGCCCUGCUGAAUCAGACCAAAGAUACAUCUAUUCCAGGAUCUUGUUUCUAAGAGCAACUAGCCACAUGACUCCAGGAAGCCCAUAAGCAGGACAUCGAGGUGAUGGUCGUCUCCUGACAUUUGUCCUCUGCAUCUGCUAGGCAGAGGAAAACUGCUUCUGGUCAUCUUCCAGAAGGGACUCAGGGGCAGCCCUUCUAUGUGGCAAGGCGUUGUAGGGAAACCUACCUGACCCACUGUCUGAGACUAUGGCAUGGGAGGAGUCUUUGAGCCUUUGCCUUCUGUUGUAUCCCCAGUUUGGAUUGCUGCCCACCCACCACUCCACACUGCUAUUGAGAAGUCAAGACAGAAAUGUUUACAAGCACAUGGCCUGAAGAAAGAAUUCAGACCCAAGGAAUAAAGGGAAGCUAGAAGAAAAAAGUGACCAAGGUCUACAACACUAUCAGCAGAUUCUUAGAGCUCCAACUUUAAAAAGGAAAAAGGUUGAUAUGCAUGAAUGGACUUCCUGAAGGCAUAUAUUAACAAAAUGAAACCAAAAAACCCCACAAAAAAACCACAGGUUAUACUACCAAAUGAAAUGGAAAUUUGGUUUAUUGCUUUUCUUGCUUUUCCCCCUUAUUGAGCGAAUCGGCUGUAAAAGCAGAUUUAAGUUUUAUGGAGGCAGCAAUAGUUAGAAAUAAUUGCCUGCAUUUGCUUGCAUUGUUGUAGAGAUUCAAUAUUUCCCUCUCAACUGGGGCUGUUGUGUAUUUCCCUCACAACUAGGGGUGUUGCAUGUAAAGGGAUUCCCCUUUACAAGCAGAGCACUCAAACUGGUUGAACCAGGCUGAACCAGUUCAAUCCGAACCGGGCCAAGUUUGAUUCGAACUCGGACCACCACCACCUUCUUUUGGAGGGCCAGUCCACUUUGAGCUUGAACUGGUCGAACAAGGCUAGUUUGAAUUGAACCAGGUUUGACUUGAACCAAUUCUACACACCCCUACUCACAACACUCUCUUCUGUUUAUUUUUUAAACUUUCCUUAGAUGAUUAUGUUCCCCAGUUAUUCAUUGUAAUUCUUCAUAAAUCUUUGCUGCCGCUUUGCAUUAAACUACAUUUUUUGGCCUGCAACAGGAA